UGGAGGAAAAGCACAUUGCUUUGGAUUUACUGCCAUGAUGGUCCCAGUUCUACUCCUGCUCCUCAUUUGCUGCUCAGGUGAAGACCAAAUGCUUCUGUCUGUCCUCCUUCCCUGACAGAUGGUCUCUCACCUGCUCUUUGUCCCUCUCUGUCUACCUUGCAGUAAAUGAAACUCCACAUUUUGAUCAAUUUUUAUUUUCCUUUCCUGUCUCUUGCAGGAGCUCUGUCUCAGUUCACUCUGACUCAACCAGCUUCAGUGUCAGCAUCUCUGGCCGGUACAGUUCAACUCAACUGCACGAUCACUGCCCUGUUUAAUUAUUUUUACUGGUAUCAGCAAAAAGGAGGAGAGAGCCCCAAAUUCAUUUUGAGGCGGAUCAUAAACGAUGACAAGACGGAUUUUGGUCCAGAGUUCUCCAACCGCUUCUCUCCUUCCAAUGAUGCCCCGAAGAAAGUGGCCUUUGUAACCAUCACCAACGUGCAGGCAGGGGACGAGGCAGUUUAUUACUGUGCUGCAUUCGACGGCACAAAGAAAAUGU